rnacentral:rRNA from 1 species
UACGAAGGGGGCUAGCGUUGCUCGAAUCACUGGGCGUAAAGGGUGCGUAGGCGGGUCUUUUAAGUCAGGGGUGAAAUCCUGGAGCUCAACUCCAGAACUGCCUUUGAUACUGAAGAUCUUGAGUUCGGGAGAGGUGAGUGGAACUGCGAGUGUAGAGGUGAAAUUCGUAGAUAUUCGCAAGAACACCAGUGGCGAAGGCGGCUCACUGGCCCGAUACUGACGCUGAGGCACGAAAGCGUGGGGAGCAACAGG